AACGAACGCUGGCGGCAUGCCUAACACAUGUAAGUCGAACGAGACCUUCGGGUCUAGUGUCGCACGGGUGCGUAACGCGUGGGAACCUGCCCUUAGGUUCGGAAUAACUCCCCGAAAGGGGUGCUAAUACCGGAUAAUGUCUUCGGACCAAAGAUUUAUCGCCUUUGGAUGGGCCCGCGUUGGAUUAGCUAGUUGGUAGGGUAAAAGCCUACCAAGGCUACGAUCCAUAGCUGGUCUGAGAGGAUGAUCAGCCACACUGGGACUGAGACACGGCCCAGACUCCUACGGGAGGCAGCAGUGGGGAAUAUUGGACAAUGGGCGAAAGCCUGAUCCAGCAAUGCCGCGUGAGUGAUGAAGGCCUUAGGGUUGUAAAGCUCUUUUACACGGGAUGAUAAUGACAGUACCGGGAGAAUAAGCUCCGGCUAACUCCGUG
rnacentral:rRNA from 1 species